rfam:Medicago truncatula strain A17 unplaced genomic scaffold scaffold0091, whole genome shotgun sequence.
AAGUAGUGUGACAUGUCCGUUUUGGUGUUAAACUCUGAUGUUAUAUUUAUUUAUUUAAUUACUUUGGGAUAACGGGGUGUUACACUUGG